GACGAACGCUGGCGGCGUGCUUAACACGUGCAAGUCGAACGGAAAGGCCCUGCUUUUGUGGGGUGCUCGAGUGGCGAACGGGUGAGUAACACGUGAGUAACCUGCCCUUGACUUUGGGAUAACUUCAGGAAACUGGGGCUAAUACCGGAUAGGAGCUCCUGCUGCAUGGUGGGGGUUGGAAAGUUUCGGCGGUUGGGGAUGGACUCGCGGCUUAUCAGCUUGUUGGUGGGGUAGUGGCUUACCAAGGCUUUGACGGGUAGCCGGCCUGAGAGGGUGACCGGCCACAUUGGGACUGAGAUACGGCCCAGACUCCUACGGGAGGCAGCAGUGGGGAAUUUUGCACAAUGGGCGGAAGCCUGAUGCAGCAACGCCGCGUGCGGGAUGACGGCCUUCGGGUUGUAAACCGCUUUCGCCUGUGACGAAGCGUGAGUGACGGUAAUGGGUAAAGAAGCACCGGCUAACUACGUG
rnacentral:rRNA from 1 species